GGUUUAGAGACCUAGCAUAGUGGUUUGAGCAUUGGACUGCAAUGCUAGAGGCCAAGGUUCAAAUCCCUGCUCAACCA